UUGAACGCUGGCGGCAGGCCUAACACAUGCAAGUCGAGCGGAUGAAGGGAGCUUGCUCCUGGAUUCAGCGGCGGACGGGUGAGUAAUGCCUAGGAAUCUGCCUGGUAGUGGGGGAUAACGUCCGGAAACGGGCGCUAAUACCGCAUACGUCCUGAGGGAGAAAGUGGGGGAUCUUCGGACCUCACGCUAUCAGAUGAGCCUAGGUCGGAUUAGCUAGUUGGUGGGGUAAAGGCCUACCAAGGCGACGAUCCGUAACUGGUCUGAGAGGAUGAUCAGUCACACUGGAACUGAGACACGGUCCAGACUCCUACGGGAGGCAGCAGUAGGGAAUAUUGGACAAUGGGCGAAAGCCUGAUCCAGCCAUGCCGCGUGUGUGAAGAAGGUCUUCGGAUUGUAAAGCACUUUAAGUUGGGAGGAAGGGCAGUAAGUUAAUACCUUGCUGUUUUGACGUUACCAACAGAAUAAGCACCGGCUAACUUCGUG
rnacentral:rRNA from 1 species